rnacentral:rRNA from 1 species
UACGGAGGGAGCUAGCGUUGUUCGGAAUUACUGGGCGUAAAGCGCGCGUAGGCGGUUACUCAAGUCAGAGGUGAAAGCCCGGGGCUCAACCCCGGAACUGCCUUUGAAACUAGGUAACUAGAAUCUUGGAGAGGUCAGUGGAAUUCCGAGUGUAGAGGUGAAAUUCGUAGAUAUUCGGAAGAACACCAGUGGCGAAGGCGACUGACUGGACAAGUAUUGACGCUGAGGUGCGAAAAGCGUGGGGAGCAAACAGG